CAUAUCAAUAAGCGGAGGAAAAGAAACCAACAGGGAUUCCCCUAGUAACGGCGAGUGAAGCGGGAACAGCUCAAAUUUGAAAUCUGGCCCUCGGGUCCGAGUUGUAAUUUGUAGAGGAUGCUUUUGGUGCGGUGCCUUCCGAGUUCCCUGGAACGGGACGCCUUAGAGGGUGAGAGCCCCGUACGGUUGGACGCCUAGCCUCUGUAAAGCUCCUUCGACGAGUCGAGUAGUUUGGGAAUGCUGCUCUAAAUGGGAGGUAUAUUUCUUCUAAAGCUAAAUACUGGCCAGAGACCGAUAGCGCACAAGUAGAGUGAUCGAAAGAUGAAAAGCACUUUGAAAAGAGGGUUAAAUAGCACGUGAAAUUGUUGAAAGGGAAGCGUUUAUCACCAGACUUUUUCUGGGGGGAUCAUCCGGUGUUCUCACCGGUGCACUUCCCCCAGUUGAGGCCAGCAUCGGUUUUCGGAGGGGGAUAAAAGCUUCGGGAAUGUGACUCCCUCGGGAGUGUUAUAGCCCGUUGCAUAAUACCCUU
rnacentral:rRNA from 1 species